rnacentral:tRNA from 1 species
AAAGUUUUAGUAUAAGUUAAUAUAGGUUAUUGUCAAUAAUCAGAUUUUUAAACUUUA